rnacentral:rRNA from 1 species
UUUUACAAUGGAGAGUUUGAUCCUGGCUCAGGAUGAACGCUAGCUACAGGCCUAACACAUGCAAGUCGAGGGGAAACGGGAAAGCAGCUUGCUGCUUUUUGUCGUCGACCGGCGCACGGGUGAGUAACGCGUAUCCAACCUUCCCAUAACUAAGGGAUACCCCGUAGAAAUGCGGCCUAAUACCUUAUGUACUCCCAUGACGGCAUCAGAGUGGGAGCAAAGAAUUUCGGUUAUGGAUGGGGAUGCGUCUGAUUAGCUUGCUGGCGGGGUAACGGCCCACCAGGGCAUCGAUCAGUAGGGGUUCUGAGAGGAAGGUCCCCCACAUUGGAACUGAGACACGGU